UGUUCUAUGAGCACCUUGUCACCUCUGGAGGAUGCUCCGAGUUCCAUAGUGCUAGCAUAUGUACCCUUGGUCUGUAAUCGGUCCCAAGAAAGCUCUUUGAUACUCAGAGUGAUGCCUCCCACUCACAACACUCUGCAACUCCACUACACCUUCAGCCAUGUCAUCACUACUGCUGCAGUGCCAGCCACUGAGCAGGAAACUGAUUUAAGGAAUCCAGCUGCUGGGGACCAGCUACAGCACAAGAGGAAGAUAUGGGAGAAUGCCCAUAAGGAGCCACUGACUGCCAAAGGGCAACUUAUCCUGAAGGGUUAUUCAGGAUAAGAUGAGAUGCCACGUGAUGAGAUGUGCUCUAAGAUGCGAUGUGCUCUAUUUGCCCAGCUAACAAAUGAAAAUGUGGAUUUCCAGACUUGCCAGUUCAAGGGAAGAUCAGCUGCAAAAGCCAGAGCAGUUUUUCCUGGGUCUCCCAUCCUCAGCAGUGAAGGCUGCAUAAGAAAGACAAGUCUGCAAAUUGGGCUUGGGUGAAAUGUGCAGAUAUGCCCAGGAACAAGUCAAUUUACUACAAGAGAUCUAUUUAUCCACAAUCACUAUUUAGAGUAAAACUGAGCUUUGAACUUUUGAAGGCACUUUCACAAUAGAGGGGUUUGCUGUGGUGUCCUUGGCCAAAAAAAUAGUCCCCUUAUUUUCAUCCUGCUAACAUAUGCCAGCUGGCUGCCACCCUCCAUUCCUGGCAUGGCUGCACUUCAGUUUUCUUGUGUGUU